GACAGAGGGGGCAAGCGUUGCUCGGAAUCACUGGGCGUAAAGGGCGCGUAGGCGGGAUGGCAAGUCGGUCGUGAAAUCCUUCGGCUCAACCGAAGAACGUCGGCCGAUACUGCUGUUCUUGAGGGAUGCAGAGGAGAUUGGAAUUCCCGGUGUAGCGGUGAAAUGUGUAGAGAUCGGGAGGAACACCGGUGGCGAAGGCGGGUCUCUGGACGGCAACUGACGCUGAGGCACGAAAGCGUGGGGAGCAAACAGG
rnacentral:rRNA from 1 species